rnacentral:rRNA from 1 species
GAUGAACGCUGGCGGCGUGCCUAAUACAUGCAAGUCGAGCGAACAGACGAGGAGCUUGCUCCUCUGACGUUAGCGGCGGACGGGUGAGUAACACGUGGAUAACCUACCUCUAAUACUGGGAUAACUUCGGGAAACCGGAGCCAAUACUGGAUAAUAUAUUGAACCGCAUGGUUCAAUAGUGAAAGACGGUUUUGCUGUCACUUAUAGAUGGUUCCGCGCCGCAUUAGCUAGUUGGUAAGGUAGCGGCUUACCAAGGCGACGAUGCGUAGCCGACCUGAGAGGGUGAUCGGCCACACUGGAACUGAGACACGGUCCAGACUCCUACGGGAGGCAGCAGUAGGGAAUCUUCCGCAAUGGGCGAAAGCCUGACGGAGCAACGCCGCGUGAGUGAUGAAGGUCUUCGGAUCGUAAAGCUCUGUUAUUAGGGAAGAACAAAUGUGUAAGUAACUAUGCACGUCUUGACGGUACCUAAUCAGAAAGCCACGGCUAACUACGUG